GCCGGCGUGGCGGAACUGGCAGACGCACAGGACUUAAAAUCCUGCGAGGCUAACCCCUCGUACCGGUUCGAUUCCGGUCGCCGGCA
rnacentral:tRNA from 1 species